rnacentral:rRNA from 1 species
UUUGUCUUUUAAUUGGGGGCUGGGAUGAAUGGGUUGACAACCCUUAGACUUUUAUUAAUAGAACAAUGUAAAUUUAUUUCUACUUUAAAAAGUGUAGCUUUCUUGGGGGGACGAUAAGACCCUGUGAAACUUUAUUAUUACCGUAAAAAGAGGGCAGAAAUUUUUAAUGCGGGUGUAGUUGAGCUGGGGCGGCAGCUAAAAAACUUUAGAAGAUUUAACACUAAUUAGUGAAAAGGAGGUUCUUUUAUAAAUCAAAAAAGUUACUCCAGGGAUAACAGCGUAAUUUAUAAAGAUAAAUUAUAUUUUUAUAAGACUUACGACCUCGAUGUUGAAUUGAGGGGCCAGAAUCUCUAUGAUUUUUUUGGGGGUCUGUUCGACCCUUAAAUCCUC